GGCGGACGGGUGAGUAACACGUGGGAAACCUGCCCAGAAGCGGGGGAUAACACCUGGAAACAGAUGCUAAUACCGCAUAACAACUUGGACCGCAUGGUCCGAGUUUGAAAGAUGGCUUCGGCUAUCACUUUUGGAUGGUCCCGCGGCGUAUUAGCUAGAUGGUGAGGUAACGGCUCACCAUGGCAAUGAUACGUAGCCGACCUGAGAGGGUAAUCGGCCACAUUGGGACUGAGACACGGCCCAAACUCCUACGGGAGGCAGC
rnacentral:rRNA from 1 species